UAAGCCUCUACUCUUAUCUUCUUCUCUCUUUUCCAUACCUUUUGCUCUCUCUCAGUUUCUCUCUAUAUCCUUAAAAUUUGUUCUGGGAGCUAUCUUGUCCUUACUUGGUUUCCAAAUGGGGAAUAGACAAAAGAUUGUUGAGGUGUCUGAUGUUGUAGCUUUACAAUAGGUUCAUGGGCAGAUUACAGAUCUUUAUGACUUUUAAUCCAAAAGCUUUCACAGCUGAUCAGUAGAUUUGCUAUUGCACCGCAUGAGAGUUUGAAGCCAUUACAUGGCAAGUGGGAACUGAAGUAUUGCGGAGAUCAUCUUUUCUUCAUCUGUUUUGGUAUCUUAGUAUGUUUUUGGCCUUCUAGGUAUAAAUAGGGAUGGCUAAUGUGCAUUGGACACAUUUAUGGACAAGUUUAUGUUUUCAGCCUUUCGAUAUGUGAGCAGGGUUAGUAUGUGUUAAUGUUGGAAUUAACAUACUACUGAUGGAAUGAAUUUAUUUUGGAAUAAAUGGAUGUGUUUCUAGA